GACGUAGGGUGCAAGCGUUGUCCGGAUUUACUGGGUGUAAAGCGCGUGUAGGCGGGAGGCCAAGUCUGUGGUGAAAUCGCUCGGCUUAACUGGGCGGGGUCCAUGGAAACUGGUCACCUGGAGGUCGGUAGAGGCAAGUGGAAUUCCCGGUGUAGUGGUGAAAUGCGUAGAGAUCGGGAGGAACACCAGUGGCGAAGGCGGCUUGCUGGGCCGGACCUGACGCUGAGACGCGAAGGCGUGGGGAGCGAACGGG
rnacentral:rRNA from 1 species